UAUACCCUACAUAACACUGUUAUAACUGGUCCUACUACCACGGUCUGGAGGAGGCCCUGAAGCCUGGUACGCAACAUAACAAACACUGUUAUAACUGGUCCUACUACCAUGGUCUGGAGAAGGCCCUGAAGCCCGGUACGCUACAUAACACUGUUAUAACUGGUCCUACUACCACGGUCUAGAGAAGGCCCUGAAGCCCGGUACACUACAUAUACCCUACAUAACACUGUUAUAACUGGUCCUACUACCACGGUCUGGAGAAGGCCCUGAAGCCUGCAGCUAAAAAUGGUGUGUCUGGACUCUUCUACAGAAACCAAAGCCGUGGAGCUGGCCACUUUACUAGACCAGUCACUCAGCAACAGGAGUAUCACGGUAUGCAGAGUUUUACUAGAGGCGCUUCGGAAUGGAGGAUUGGGCGAGUCAAAGGAGCGUGCGGAGUCUUACCGUGCGGAGUGUCACAGGCUCUUCCCGUACACGCUAGCCUUCAUGCCCACGGGGGGUGCGAGGAGAACACCAAGAUCGCCAAUGGCGACGUCUCCACAGAGACCGAGGAGCUGGCCAAUGACAUGUGAGCUGCGUUACGGUUGGAGAAACCUUACGGGCCAAGCAGCGAGCCUUGGGGGACACCAAGUCGACUGGACGCCAUUUUGUAGCACCUGUUGAAACGUUGAAGUGGAAGAGACAGAGGCUUUGUUUCUUCUUUGCUUGGGCUUUGGUGCAGUUCGUUUCAUCUCUGUCUCUGACGUGGCAAACUAGGACUGUGUGUGGAGGAGGAAGAGAGGUGAAGUGAAUGAAAUGGGAAUAUUUUUUUUAUUUUAUCUUGCUGACGGACUACUACUCUAACUGAAAAUACAACAUCAACAAACACUGUCAUCAACUGUUAUCAAAGAGUUUAUUAAAAAAACACAACCAUGA